CGGUUGAAUGGGACUAGUAACUCGCUUUCACAUCUGGAUCUACGGCGCUCUGGACCCAAAUCACAGAGGACCAUGAAGAAGUGUUCGCUGGAUGUACGAGAUGCUUGUUUUGGAUGUAAUUCUAGAGCUAAUUUCGCAGGGUCAGCCAAUUUCGAAUUCACAUUAACAGGUCUUGCGUGGCAAAUGAAGUAGGCGAGUUCACUCAGAUCAGACGUCAUUAUGUAAUCUUUUUUUGUUACUGAUACCUGACAUUAGCCAAUCAAAACGAAGCUACGCCGUGAUUAAAAAGAGUGCAACAGCAAGAGGCUGCUCAGAUAAACUUCUCGCGCCCAGUGAACAUUCUUUCAGCCUGGAGAGCACUGUUGCGGAGCGCAAGCAAGCUACACAAAAACAGCUUUUGCUAACUGAAUAACAGCCAUCCCCGGCAACAAAACACAGAUUUUCUGACACUCAGAAACUCGGAAAAUAAGGAUGAGCCUGAAGCUUGGAUUCACUUUAUUUCUCCUCCUGCUGUUGGUCGACCUGCCUAGAAUUCUGAGCCGGAAAUGUCAUAAAGGAGGACACAAAUGUAAAGUGCACGAGAACUCUCCAAUCCCUGUGGACCUUCCGCGCCUUUGCGGUGACAAUAUCAUUGACAUUUACAAGAACAUUUGCGACUCAAUGUGGGCUAGAUGGAGACGAAGACGAGAUACGGGUGCGGAUUUGUUUGUCCAGACGAAACACGAAGCCAACGAUUUCCUCUCGUUCAGAAGACAAAAGAGGAGCACAGAUUCGACUAACGUUAUCGAAGAAUGCUGCGGCGAAAGGUGUAGAACAGAAGAACUCAAGGAAUAUUGCUAAGCAAAAGAAAAAAGAAAAAAAAAAUUCACGCGGGCAACUGAUGUCCGAUUGGAAACUUUCCGAACAAAAGGACCACAAACGUUAAGCUAUCAUUAAGUUAUUCUCUACUAAGGUUGUUAAUAAUAUAUUGUUGUUUAUGAAGCAAUGUUAUCCCGUGUCGUGGAGAACUAGAAUAAAAUACGGCAAAUUAAAAGACUAGAAACCCGAUACAUACUCAGCAAGUAUCCAACGGUUGGCAAAGUGAAGCGGUAUUUCUACGUCAUAAUGUGCCGUUCGUGGUAGGAAUGUGGCAUGUUAAUAAUAAGAGGAGGAAAAAUAAUUACUGGUAUUUUCUCGAUUGAGAACCGGACCCCGACGAAACACAGGGUUUAAAAACAAUAUCAAAAAUAUUCUCUGAAAUGAUAUUAUUUUACUAUUUACCAGUCAGCGUUCCCUAGUGCUUCAAAGUUGGCAAAAUUAUGUGGUUCGACUCGCUAAUUUACCUACUCCGAUAUGACUCCAGAAACAUGUAAUAAGAUGUAAAUAUUUACGCUACCGAAGUAUGGAAGGAAUUGAAAACUUAAUAAACCUACCGUUAUCAACCGGCAUGCAUCUGUGGAGGUGCUCCAUAAUGGUUGAGCCCGCGCUUCCCUUGUCCUUAACGGAAAUAUCGCAUUUUCGUUUUUGCAAAAUAAAUAAAUAAAUAAAUAAAUAAAUAAAUAAAUAAAUAAAAUAAAAAAUAUUCAGACCCUAAUAUGCGAGGAGAAUUAAAGUCAAUUCAAUAACCUAGCUUGAGGGUAGUUUUUAAGGGUUAGGUGUUAGCUUGUCAGUCUUCGGCAGAAACAGUAAUUAAAAGCAUUUUAGAAGUA